rnacentral:lncRNA from 1 species
GCGCAGUACAACCCGGAGCCCCCGCCCCCACGCACACAUUACUCCAACAUUGAGGCCAACGAGAGUGAGGAGGUCCGGCAGUUCCGGAGACUCUUUGCCCAGCUGGCUGGAGAUGACAUGGAGGUCAGCGCCACAGAACUCAUGAACAUUCUCAAUAAGGUUGUGACACGACGUAAGUGACCGGGGUUAAGGAAUAGGGUAGAUUCAGAGGCAGAGGGGUCAGAGAGGAUUUGACCUCUGGCCUCUGACUUUCAACCUGUUACCCACAGACCCUGAUCUGAAGACUGAUGGUUUUGGCAUUGACACAUGUCGCAGCAUGGUGGCCGUGAUGGAUGUAUCCUUGGGGGCAGUGUGGGAGAGGCCCUGGGUGGACAGAGAGUUUUUUGAGAGUAUGUUUGGGAAGCCAACAUGUAGCUUUCAUAUCCACAGAUGUGGAAAUGCAUUCAUCAGAACACAGUCACCUGCAGACAUGUGGCGGUAAAUCAUAACAAUGCCAGCUGUCACAGCUGGCACUUUAAUUAUAUAAAGUGACCGAACCGUCAUAACCACCCUGUUGGACAGGCACAAUUAUUAUAUUCCAUUUUACAGAAGAGGAAACUGAGGCUCAGUUUCCUGAAAGAAGCAGUCAUUUGUCUCAAGUUAUAGAUAAAGGUCAGGCAUGGUGGCUCAUGCCUGUAAUCCCAACACUUUGGGAGGCUAAGGUGGGCAGAUCACCUGAGGUCAGGAGUUUGAGACCAGCCUGGCCAACAUGGUGAAACCCCAUCUCUAUUAAAAAUACAAAAAUUGGCCAGGCACGGUGGCUCACACCUGUAAUCCCAGCACUUUGGGAGGCCGAGGCGGGCGGAUCACGAGAUCAGGAGAUUGAGACCAUCCUGGCUAACACAGUGAAACCCUGUC